AUUGAACGCUGGCGGCAGGCCUAACACAUGCAAGUCGAGCGGAUGACGGGAGCUUGCUCCUUGAUUCAGCGGCGGACGGGUGAGUAAUGCCUAGGAAUCUGCCUGGUAGUGGGGGACAACGUUUCGAAAGGAACGCUAAUACCGCAUACGUCCGACGGGAGAAAGCAGGGGACCUUCGGGCCUUGCGCGAUCAGAUGCGCCUGGGUCGGAUUAGCUAGUAGGUGCGGUAAUGGCUCACCUAGGCGACGAUCCGUAACUGGUCUGAGAGGAUGAUCAGUCACACUGGAACUGAGACGCGGUCCAGACUCCUACGGGAGGCAGCAGUGGGGAAUAUUGGACAAUGGGCGAAAGCCUGAUCCAGCCAUGCCGCGUGUGUGAAGAAGGUCUUCGGAUUGUAAAGCACUUUAAGUUGGGAGGAAGGGCAGUAAGUUAAUACCUUGCUGUUUUGACGUUACCGACAGAAUAAGCACCGGCUAACUCUGUGCCAGCAGCCGCCGUAAUAC
rnacentral:rRNA from 1 species